rnacentral:rRNA from 1 species
UACGUAGGGGGCUAGCGUUGUCCGGAAUCCUUGGGCGUAAAGAGCGUGUAGGCGGCCCGGUAAGUCCGCUGUAAAAGUCAAAGGCUCAACCUUUGAAUGUCAGUGGAUACUGCCGGGCUAGAGUCCGGAAGAGGCGAGUGGAACUCCUGGUGUAGCGGUGGAAUGCGCAGAUAUCAGGAAGAACCCCAACGGCGCAGGCAGCUCGCUAGGACGGUACUGACGCUGAGACGCGAAAGCGUGGGGAGCGAACAGG